rnacentral:rRNA from 1 species
CACCAUGGGAGUUGGUAACGCCCGAAGUCAGUGACCCAACCGUAAGGAGGGAGCUGCCGAAGGCGGGACUGAUAACUGGGGUGAAGUCGUAACAAGGUAGCCGUAUCGGAAGGUGCGGCUGGAUCACCUCCUUUCUAAGGAAGAAGAAGUAAGG